rnacentral:lncRNA from 1 species
AAGGAGGCUGGGCUGUGGAGGAGAACCCAGCCUUUCUAAAGUCAAGGCACACCAGAAUUGAGACUAUUUUGGUAGCACCCUGAGGGUGUUGUACGAGGCCCCUGGAGUGUAGAAGGACCCACUGAGGAUCCAGCAACCCUGGACAGAAUGGUCUAAGUUUAGAUAGGACCAGUGCUCUGUUGUGAAUGGAGUGAGAAACAAAACCUCCAGGAUGCAUCCAGCAGUGUGUUUCCACGGGGAUUAUAAAUCUAGUCCAGUUGACAAUAAAGGUUAGCCACCACUCAGCCAUCACACUCCCACUUGGCACUUCCUUCCAUUCUGAGCACACCAGAAUCGUCCUUGGGGCUGAUGGCCCCACGAAACAGAAUUGUUCCAGGGACGAAGCCUUUGAUGGAUUGGCUGCUCUGCUGGCUGCUUUGGUAGAAUGGGUCAUAAAUAUUAACAGGCUGACAAACAUGUCAUGUCACACCUGUGACCAAGAAACACCCAGGCUUCUACCACUUUGUUCUUUUGAUAGACACCAUCUCCUUCUCUCCUGAACUUGCUCUGAUGGGUCUAUUCCUCCACCACUCUCCUCAGAGGACCAGGGUUCAGUUCCCAACACCCCUAUCAGGUGCUGGAAAGAUAGAUGUCACCAAGUCCUCAGGC